rnacentral:lncRNA from 1 species
GCCUCCCAAAGCUCCAAGAAGGAACAAAGAAUGUGACCCAGUAAGAUCACACCAUGAGUCUAUAUUGCAGAAACCUUUGUUCAACAAAACUGCAGAUGCUCUGUUGAAUCCACUGGAGAUUGUUCUGAUACUAAGGACAAGUAUCAAACAUCUUUCCUGUGAAAAAUUCCCUCUCCUAGUACUUUAGUUCUGUGGAUCCAAAAUUUAUAGCAUUCUUCUACCACCACAGGGGCUCAUAUGACAUUAACAGACAAGACACUUUUCAGAAAGACAGGUUGUUCUUUUGGGCCACAUCUAAGAAAUCUUUGUCUAGCCAAAAGCCACAAAUAAUUUCUCAUUUUUUGGCUUCUGGAAGAUGUACAGUUAAAUGUUAUAUUUGGGACUGUUAUCUAAUUUGGUUAAAUUGCACUCUACAAUAUGGUAUUUGAAUUGAUGAAAAAUUAGUAAAUGUUAAUAUUUUUUAAAGUAGCCAAAUCUUGCAAUUUAUAUAUAAUAGAGAAGACUAGAAAAUCCCCCAUAUUUAUUUCCUCUUACUUCGUACUACUAAAAUUUGUAUUUAGGCAUUUGGUUUCUCAGAUAAACAUUACAUUCCCCAGUAUAUGGUUCUAUCUGGCUUGGUGACGACAUGUUGAACAUUAAGAUGUGAGCAGAAGUAAUACAUACACACUCUUUUUCAUGUCUUUAAUUGAAUGGGAUAUUGGCCCAUUUUUUCUUCCAGUUUAUUACACUGAAUAUUGACAUGUUAUUUUCCAAUAUUGAGACAAUCAAUGACAAGACUUUAAGAGUAACAAUGUAAAAAUACAGAAGUUGUCUGAGUUUAUCAACAAUCCCCUGGAUUAGAACCCCCUACCAGUUCUAGGUCAUCUAAUAUAUAGACAUUGUGUUCAGUAGAAAUAAAUAUAUAUAUUUUUUAUUAUGCUUUAAGUUCUAGGAUACAUGUGCACAACAUGCAGUUUUGUUACAUUGGUAUACACGUGCCAUGUUGGUUUGCUGCACCCAUUAACUCAUCAUUUACAUUAGGUAUUUCUCCUAAUGCUAUCCCUCCCCCUGCCCCCACCCCCGACAGGCCCUGGGGUGUGAUUUUCCCCACCCUGUGUCCAAGUGUUCUCAUUGCUCAAUUCCCACCUAUGGGAAUACAUUUUUAAAUCAUUUUUAAAGGUGUUAUUACAUUCUGAUUGAACAUUUUCAGAAAGAAUAAAUAAUUUAAUACAAGAAGUGGGCCACUUCAUGUAACAAAACAAACCACCACUACAGCAACAACAACAAAAAACACUAAUGAAUGUGACUUUAGCUUUGCAACAUCGUGACAGACUAGCAAGUUAAUGACAUUUGUUAUGCCAUAGAAAAUAUUUGUUGAAUUGCCACUCUAAUGACUUUAUAUCAGCCAACUCAUUAUCAACACUAGAAAAGAUGAUUAAAAAAUACUUCAGUACGUUCACGUGUUGGCUUGUUAACAUUUUUAAGAGUCUAUAAGAGAAAAAUGCAUCCAAUCUUGACAAAAAUAUUUUUCAAGUAUCUUGUAGGUACGUACAACUAACUACCUUGUGAACAAAAGUCACUAUAUAAUUAUAUAAUUUCUGACACUUAAAAAAGUUUAUUGUGCUAAAGAAGAUAUAUGUUCUAAUACCAAAUCCACAUAUAAAAUAAUUGACUUAAAUAAUUUAAGAUGCUCUUUUAUAUAUUUAUAUUAAAAACUUUACAGAGAAUAAAAAAAGCAUUAUACAGGCUACUUAUGGUUUUUGAUGUUUGGAUCUACAAUAC